CAGGGUAUGAUGUGAUUGCUCAAGCUCAGUCAGGUACUGGCAAGACAGCCACAUUUGCUAUUUCCAUCCUGCAACAGUUGGAGAUUGAGUUCAAGGAGACCCAAGCACCAGUAUUGGCCCCCACCAGAGAGCUGGCUCAACAGAUCCAAAAGGUAAUUCUGGCACUUGGAGACUAUAUGGGAGCAACUUGUCAUGCCUGCAUUGGUGGAACAAAUGUUCGAAAUGAAAUGCAAAAACUGCAGGCUGAAGCACCACAUAUUGUUGCUGGUACACCAGGAGAGUGUUUGAUAUGUUAAACAGAAGACAUCUUUCUCCAAAAUUGAUCAAAAUGUUUAUUUUGGAUGAAGCAGAUGAAAUGUUGAGCCAUGGGUUUAAGGAUCAAAUCUAUGAGAUUUUCCAAAAACUAAACACAAGUAUUCAGGUUGUGUUGCUUUCUGCCACAAUGCCCAACUGAUGUGUUGGAAGUGACCAAAAAAUUUAUGAGAGGUCCAGUUUGAAUUCUGGUGAAAAAGGAAGAAUUGACCCUUGAAGGAAUCAAAUAGUUUUAUAUUAAUGUUGAGAGAGAGGAAUGGAAGUUGGAUACGCUUCGUGACUUGUACGAGACACUGACCAUUAUGCAAGCUGUUAUUUUUCUCAAUACGAGGCUCAAGGUGGACUGGCUUACUGAGAAAAUGCAUGCCAGAGACUUCACAGCUUCUGCUCUGCAUGGUGACGUGAACCAGAAGGAGACAGAUGUUAUCAUGAGGAAAUUCCAGUCAGGGUCAAGUCAUGUUCUGAUCACUGCUGACUUGUUGGUUCAUGGGAAUGAUGUGCAACAAGUGUCUUUGGUUAUAAAUUAUGAUCUACCUACCAAUCGUGAAAACUAUUUUCACAGGGCGAGUCGACUUGGCAGAGGGGAUCGAUUUGGGAGGAAAGGUGUGGCUAUAAACUUUGUUACUGAAGAAGACAAGAGGAUUCUUCAUGACAUUGAGACUUUCUACAAUACUACAGUGGAGGGGAUGCCCAUGAAUGUGGCUGACCUGAUUUAAUUCCUGGGAUGAGAGUUUUGGAUGCAGUGCUCGCUGUUGCUGAAUAGGCGAUCACAACAUGCAUUGUGCUUCUUUCUUCGGGAAUAUUUGAAUCUUGUCUCAAUGUUCAUAACGGAUCAGAAAUACAGAUUUUGAUAGCAAAGCAACAUUAGUCAUGAGCUCUUGUGAGGAAAGUUACUGGCUUUAUCCUCUUUAGAGUUAGACUGUUGGGGUGGGUAUAAAAGAUGGGGUCUGUAAAAUCUUUCUUUCUUAGAAAUUUAUUUCCUAGUUCUGUAGAAAUGGUUGUAUUAGAUGUUCUCUAUCAUUUAAUAAUAUACUUGUGGACUAAAAGAUAUAAGUGCUGUAUAAAAUCAUCCAAUUAUAUUAAACUAGCAUAUCUGCCUUUGUUGUGUUUGUCAUUAGCCUGAGUAGAAAGGCCUUUAAAACUUUUUUAGAAUGCAUUUUAUUUGGUAUUGUAUUUAUUCAAUGAAGUAUUUAAUUAG